CGCAUCAAACGUUACCCUUUGUGUGACUUUGGUUUAGCUUGCUAGUCUGAUUAAAUUCCAUUCACCAGCAAAGGAAGAGAUUGGUAUUUAUAUGUCUGAAGCUGAUCUGAGUCUGGCUGUCCUAGACAAUGUGGAUAUUUCUGGAGAGAGAGGGAGAGAAAAGCCAGGGUUUAUCCACUUGGUUUAUUAAUGGUCACCAAGAACAAACAGAUACUGUGUAAGGUUUAGUAGAUCUGCCUGCGUCUGAGCUGUUUUACAUCAGCUUUUUUUUCUUUCCUGGAUUUAUAAAGAUUUGCACAGUCAUAUGCCAAAGCAUUUUUUUUUUCUUUAAGCCAUAUGACACACCAGCUCCCCCUUUGCCUUCUGCCAUGAGGAAAAGCUUCAUGAGGCCUUACCAGAAGCCAAGCAGACACUGGCACCAUGCUUCUAUAACCUGCAGAACAGCGAGUCAAGUACAGACGUCUUUAUAAAUUACCCAGCCUCAGCUGGAAAGACAUUGAAGUUUCAAUUAAAUAAGAGAUCACAUGACAUUAUAUGUCAAAGCCAGAAGUAAGAAAUUUACCAUACAACUGACUAGGUACUUGGCUAUGGGUGCUUUGAGCAGCACUCUUUCUACGUGGUAUUUAUGUUAAUAUAAAUUGUAUAAAAUUAUUUUAAUGAUAUAUACAUUAUAUAAGUACAUAAAUAGUACAUUAUUUGAAUAUGUAAAAGUAAUAGUAUGAAAUAGCACAAUAAUAUAUAAGUAUGUAAAUAGUUCACAUGUAAAUAUAAUAGUAUAUAAACAGUAUACUAGUAUAGUAAUACAUUAUAUAAAUAUGUAAAUGGUAUAUUAUAUAAGUAUGUAAAUGCAACAGUAUGUAAAUAGUAUAAUAAUGCAUUCCAUAAAUAUGUAAAUAGUAUAUCAUAUAAGUGUGUAAAUAUAUAUAAAUAAUAAAAUUGUAUUAUAAUACAUUACAUAAAUAUGCAGAGGUAAUAGUAUGUAAAUAAUGCAACAGUAGAAUACAUUAUAUAAGUAUGUAAAUAGUACAUUUUGUAAGUAUGGACAGGUAACAUUAUGGUAAUAAUACAACAGUAGAGUACAAUAUAUAAGUAUGUAAAUACUAUGUAUUAUAUAUGUAUCUAACAGCAUUUAUUAUACUGUAAAUGCAUUUUAUAUUAUUUAUUACAUAAUAAAUGUAUGUAAUUACAAAUACUAAUUAACUCUAACAACUGCCACUAGUAGGGUUGUUAGAAUAAGCCCAAAAAAUCCACCCAGGCCCUGCAGUUAAAUUUGAAUUUAAGUCAAUAAACAGAAAUCUUUUUAGUAUAAAUAUGUUUCUUGCAAUAUUUGGGACAUAGUUAUCUUAAAAUAAUUUAUUGUUUUUCUGAAAUUGAAAUUUAACUUGGUGUCCUUUAACUGUUAAUCUUAGUCAUGAGAGUAAUAUAAGAGAACUCUCAAAGUAACUCAUGUUGGUUUUAUUUAUUUCUCCUUGGAUUUUUAGUAUACACUUGCAGAAUAGUGUAACAUUUGUAAAUACAAUCUCUGCAGGCAAAUAU